rnacentral:tRNA from 1 species
CCAGCCAUAGCUCAGUUGGUAGAGCGGAGGACUGUAGAGUGCACCGUAGGUAGUGAUCCUUAGGUCGCUGGUUCGAAUCCGGCUGGCUGGA